rnacentral:rRNA from 1 species
UACGUAGGGCGCACGCGUUGUCCGGAAUUAUUGGGCGUAAAGAGCUCGUAGGCGGCUUGUCGCGUCGGAUGUGAAAGCCCGGGGCUUAACUCCGGGUCUGCAUUCGAUACGGGCAGGCUAGAGUUCGGUAGGGGAGAUCGGAAUUCCUGGUGUAGCGGUGAAAUGCGCAGAUAUCAGGAGGAACACCGGUGGCGAAGGCGGAUCUCUGGGCCGAUACUGACGCUGAGGAGCGAAAGCGUGGGGAGCGAACAGG